GCUGCUGCUAAAGUGAGAAGAUUGAGACUACUAGCUGAUUCAAUGGCGUUGAUGGGAUGAAAGUAGAUUUUGCGGACAGUCAAGAGUAGUUUGAUCUCUUUGAGAAGGUAUUUAUAUGGUUUAAACUUUGUAAUUUUAGUUUUUAUUAGCUGGUAAAUGGGGGAGUUGGGUUUUGUUGCAACCAGAGAAUGGUUUGAUUUGUUUGAGGAAUCAAAUUAAUUUCCCCAUGACCACAGAUUGAACACUACUUGUUUCGGCCUAGCCAUUUCCAGUCAAGGCCACACAUUACUUUCCCUUAGCUUCUGAGUAUAGGAGCUAGUUUGGACAAGAGCCAAUUAAUUUCAAGCACUAUCUCCUUGUUUAUCAUUGUUUAUCAAUAAUACUAUGAUUAAUAAAAUAUUUCACACCAUAUUUCUAAUUCCUCUUGUAAGAGAGUUAGUAGUAUCAAAAUCAGUUAAGUUGGUGUAAAUUUUUUAUGAAUCUUGAUUCUCUAAUCAACUAUAAUAGCCUAGCCCUAGAUAUACUCAUUAAUAGUAACAAAUUCACUUGAGUUAGUUUAAUUGUGUUGAAGAGCAGAUUUGUUCAUGUUUGUGUCUUAGUGACAUGUUUGUUUUGCUUCUGUAUACAAUCAGAGACAAUGGAAUUAAUGCACUUUAUUAGCUCUUUAAAAGAUCAACAAUUUUGUGAUUGACAAUGGCCAAUGAACAAGGUUUAUAUGUUUUUUCCCCAUAUAACUUGUUGUUGAGUCAUGUAAUUAACUUUUUCUUUUUGUUUAUUUGUAUUGUAUUUGUAUUGGGUCAAGUACAAGCUUGUGAUUGAUAUAUGGUUUUUGGCGAAGGAUGUUGGAGUAUUGGACGUAGUCUAUGUUGUAUAGGUACAGGUACGAUACUUGGUACACGAAUACGACAAUUUUAGAAAAAGUAAGGUACGGGUACGUCAAUAAAAUCAUAAGUUUUGUUAUAGAAUAUAACAUGAAGGAGUUAAAUUCUUCAAUUCAUAAAAGAAAAUCACAUUAGAAGUUUAAAAAGUCGAAAUUUAGAGUUGGUUACAACAACAAAGAAACUCAAACGCACAAAUAACACUCACAGUAUAAUAAUUAGUAAAAAUGGAGUACCACGAUAACCAUACGAGUACGUGGUACAGUUGUGUACUUGAUACGGGUACUUCACCAUUUUACAAGUACCCAUACUUCAGAAGACGUAGUGAUUUGUGAUUUGUGUGCUUACUUUUAGUUAUAAGUACUUUAGUAUGUCUUAAUUAUUUCUUCUCCAUAUAUAAUGUCUUAGGGUAUACUGUACAUUAAAGACAAGUCUUUUAUUUUAAUGUAUGUUAUUUGGAUAGAUAUAUGAAUGAUAUAUGAUUGAGAAGUCUUUGACUUUCUCUAGUUCAUGAUUCAGGAAAGGUUAUUGAACAAAUAAAAGAAAAGCUUUUACUAUCUGAUCAGGACCUACAUACUAGUAAGUUGGAGCAAGGCUUAUGGUUUAUAACAAUAGACAACUUUUGAAAACCAGCCCAGGUAAUUAAAUUUUCAAUUACUUUGAUAUAUAAUUACAUAUUGUUGAUGUUGUGAUCUCGGUAUUGUUGGUUGCAUUUAAUGUCUUUUAAUUCAAACAGUUACAUGUAUGUUAUAAAGUUAAGAUAAUCACGUAAAAUUAGUGGUUAUAAGGCUCAUGCUUCCACUGCUGGCAUUAUUGGAGUUGAUAUUUUUUUGGAUAUUGUGUUGUAGAGCAACAACACUAUACGGUCUGCUUCUACCUUUUGUAUAAUUGCAACAAUGUAAAAAACCCUAUAAUUUAAGAAGACUAAGUUUUUUUCCUCUGGGAGUGUCUAUGAUUUGUUGUAGCUGACAGGUGGUUUGCAGAAGUAUAGUUUCGAAAAAGGAAAUUGGUCUUUUACUAUUAAUUCUUAAGAUGCUUUUAUUGGUGGUUAUAAUACUCAUAUCUCCACUAUAGUAUGAAGUGCAAUAUAGUUAUGUUGAUGGUAUGAGUGAAACUUAAUAAUGUGUGAAAUGGAGAAGUUGUGAUGCAAUAUGAAUUUUGUGUUAGUGUGUGUUGGUGUUAGAGUAGAGAAACCUACUAGUUUAGUAUUAUCAUAUGAGAAGAAGGAUAUCAAAUGUCUAAAAUAUAAUAGUUUAGUAUACUCUAUUGUUGCGUCUAUUUGGAAGGGAGUGGCUUUGAAAUUACUACCUCAGUGUUUGACAUAUAUAGUUUAAUUAAUUAUUGAACAUAUUUCUUUUAUUUUGUAGAUGAAUGGUUAAUGAUGAUAUCGAUGAAGAAUUUCAAGAUUUAGAAGUACAAGAGAUGAAGACAGAUGUUUAUGUUCAAGUGUUAUUUUGAUUGUGAAAAUGAUAAUUGACAUUUUGAGUUAACAGGACCCAUUAAAUAUUCGAAUACUUUAUUGUGAUCAAUGUUAUUUUGAUGCAUAUAUGAAUGAUAUAUUAUUGACAAGUAGUUGAUAUGUAAUUUUGAAUUUAAGAUUAUAUUAGAAUUUUGG
rnacentral:lncRNA from 1 species